rnacentral:snRNA from 1 species
GGGAAGUAGUGUCGCGGAAA